rnacentral:rRNA from 1 species
UACGAAGGGGGCUAGCGUUGCUCGGAAUCACUGGGCGUAAAGCGCACGUAGGCGGAUCGCUAAGUCAGGGGUGAAAUCCUGGAGCUCAACUCCAGAACUGCCCUUGAUACUGGCGGUCUCGAGUCCGGGAGAGGUGAGUGGAACUGCGAGUGUAGAGGUGAAAUUCGUAGAUAUUCGCAAGAACACCAGUGGCGAAGGCGGCUCACUGGCCCGGUACUGACGCUGAGGUGCGAAAGCGUGGGGAGCAAACAGG